UAUUUAUAUAUUUUUUUAAACAGUACUAUAUCACAUAUAUAAUUUCUUGUUGCAUUUUAUUUUGUUCUCAGGUGCACACUUUAAAAUUACUCUAAGGAAAGGCACCAGAGGAAACAGUGCAGGGGCUGAAUUUGAGGCCCCACACUUGUGAGUACUACACUCCACACACAUCACAUUCCCUUGGCAUCAUAUAUGAUCACUUAUUUAAAAGAAUUUUUUUUCAAAGGAAUGAUUUUAUGUUUUACCUUUCUGUAUUUUUUUAUUUUUUAAAUAUUCCCUUUUAUUGCCACUGUUGUAUUGUUGUAGUUAUUGAUGUUGUUGUUGUUGAAUAGGACAGAGAGAAAUGGAGAGAGGAGGGGAAGACAGAGAGGGGAAUAGAAAGACACCUACAGACCUGCUUCACUGCCUGUGAAAGGACCCCUCUGUAGAUGGGGAGCCAGGGGUUCAAACUGGGAUCCUUCCUCUGGUCCUUGUGCUUUGCGCCCCGUGUGCUUAACCUGCUGCACCAACUCCCUCUGGAUGUCUUUAGUGAAGAUUUGUGUAACCCAUCCUAAAUACAAUGUCAUAAAGAUUCGAAUCCAUGUGUACUUUUCUAUAGGUUACAAUUUGCCUUUUGCCUUUAAACCUUUCAUUUUACUGUAUUUGAUUUUGAUAAUAUAUUUAUAUAUUGUAUAUAAUAUAUAUUAUAUAUAAUAAUUAUUAUUAUAUACUAUAUAUAUAUAUAUUUUUUUGCCUCCAGGGUUAUCGCUGGGGCUUGUUGCCUGCACUAUGAAUCCACUGCUCCUGUAGGUUAUUUUUUUCUUUUUGUUGCCCUUAUUGUUUAUGUUUGUUAAUGUUUCCACUGCUGUUGUUGGACAGGACAAAGAGAAAUGGAGGGAGGAAGGGAAGAUAGAGGGGGAGAGAAAUACAGACACCUGAAGACCUGCUUCACCACCUGUGAAUUGACCCCCCCGCAGGUGGAGAGCCAGGGGCUUAAACUGUGAUUCUUAGCCUGUCCCUGUGCUUCAAGCCCUGUGAGCUUAACCAGCUGUGCUACCGACCGACCCCCACUGUUAGUUAUUUUGUUGUUCUGUAUGAGGGUGGUGGAGACCUUCUAGAUAGUACUUGAGUUUGGCUUUUCCUGCACUUCACAGGCAGCAGGGACAUCUCAGGCAGCUUCAAUGAUGUUUCUGUGUUAAAAUAUUGAUAUUCAAGGUCAUGAAUAUAUUAUUCAAAAGGAUAAAGAAUAAGGAAGCUAUCAGGGAAGGAACAGGAUACAGAGUUCUGGUGGUAGGAACUGUGUGGAGUUGUGCCCCUCUUAUCCUAUGGUUUUGUCAGUGUUUCCUUUUUAUAAAUAAAAAUUAAAAAGAAAUUAGUAUAAGAAAAGUAGUAAGGAACAAAGGACAUUUUAAUUUGGAAUUUAGAAAUAUUCAGAAUUAAGCAAGAAGUACAUAUCAAACACUCAGAACAUACAGAAUGGGGUAUUCAGAGGUUUUUUUAUUCAAUGGUACCAUAAAUGCUACUUUUAAAAGUGAUGUCAAGU